rnacentral:lncRNA from 1 species
AGGCCUUGGGAGAAAAAUCUUAAGAUAUGUAUUUGGGGGUAGAAAUGACCCCCCAAAGGGAAAGAAAGGUGGCCUCAGGAUACUCAGCAGAGCAGGGGCUGAUUGCAUACUGGGUGUGGUGCUGAACCCCGGGAGUCCUGAACUAAACAGAAUAUACACUGCCCUUCAAAGCCUGGAGGUCCAGGGGAGGAGAGUUAUGAGAGUGGUGACUACCCCAACUUCCUAGGAAGUUUCCUCUUGAUACUGCUGCAGUUUCAUGGUACAGGGGCUUCAAGUGUCAUCAGACAUCAGGGCCACUGCACGCCAUGACGCACGAGAAAAUGGACACUAUGGAGACCCUUAGACCGUAUCAGGAAUGUCGGACUCAUCUGGCCACAGAGGUUUGAGGUGGUAGACAUUGUGAAGCCACAGAAUACAACUGGAGGCAAAGCACAGCUCAUGGUUUCUGGUGUUGGACCAGAAGGAAGGCUGGAUAGCCCAGCCUUGAGAAGGCCCAAGAAAUGGAGGUGAUGAAGUUGAGUUGGAGGCCAAGCUUCCCUCUGACACUCUGCUCAUCUGCCCUCCUGCCGGAUCCCCAAGUCCUUCUCUAAGCAUAUGCGGACAAGAGAGAUCCCCGUCCGAUGACUCCACGUGUGCCAUGGUGGGGACACUGCCAGAUGAGAGGGUCCAGGCAAGCAGAUCUUCUUGUGGAAAACUUGGUGACAGUACCCUUUCUGAGUCAGUUUCCUUAUCUGUACAGUGUAGACGUGGGCCAGAAGCUGUAGAGAGUCUCCGUGUUCUUCAGGCUUAGGCGGGUCAUUGGGUACAGCCAGGUGUAUUUUGGUACCUGGACUAAGGGGACAAGUGGGAUGACUAAGAGAUCUUCCCAGAUGGAAGGCCUGGCAUGGGUGCAUGUGGAAGUAUUCAUGGAGGAGACUUCAGCCGCCCAUCAGUGCUCUGCCCCGCCCCUCAGCGGUUGAUGGACAAACGGUUCCCUUGGAGACUGAUCUUUCAUCUCUGGCAUGGGACACACGCUUAGUGGCUUAAGGAGCCAGCCUUGGGAAGAAAUAGUGAAACUCAUAGACGCCUGUCUUCACUUUCUGCCUCUUUAAAGAUUUUUGUUUGCUUGCUUGCUUGUUUAAGAGCUGAAGAUGGCUCAUGUGUUAAACGCAUCGCAUCUGAUGCUCUUACAUAAAACCCAGGUUCAGUUCCCAGCACCCAGCAAGUGGCUCACAACCACCUGUGAUCCCAGUUCUGGGGGGAAUCUAGUGCCCCUUCUGGCCUCCUCAGGAACUGCACACAGGAGGUGCAUGUACAGACAUGGUCGGGGAACAUACUCAUACUGAUAAAAUAAAAAUAAUUCUUUUUAAAAA